rnacentral:rRNA from 1 species
UACGUAGGGGGCAAGCGUUGUCCGGAUUUAUUGGGCGUAAAGAGCGUGUAGGCGGCUAUGCAGGUCCGCUGUGAAAACUCGAGGCUCAACCUCUAGACGUCGACCGAAACCACUUGGCUAGAGUCCGGAAGAGGAGAGUGGAAUUCCUGGUGUAGCGGUGAAAUGCGCAGAUAUCAGGAAGAACACCCGUGGCGAAGGCGGCUCUCUGGGACGGUACUGACGCUGAGACGCGAAAGCGUGGGGAGCGAACAGG